CCUACGGGUGGCAGCAGUGAGGAAUAUUGGUCAAUGGCCGUAAGGCUGAACCAGCCAAGUCGCGUGAAGGAAGAAGGAUCUAUGGUUUGUAAACUUCUUUUAUAGGGGAAUAAAGGUAUCCACGUGUGGCUAUUUGCAUGUACCCUAUGAAUAAGCAUCGGCUAACUCCGUGCCAGAAGCCGCGGUAAUACGGAGGAUGCGAGCUUUAUCCGGAUUUAUUGUGUUUAAAGGGUGAGUAGGUUGUUUUUUAAGUCAGCGGGGAAAGUUUGUUGCUUAACCAUAAAAUUGCCGUUGAAACUGGAAGACUUGAGUGUGUUUGAGGUAGGCGGAAUGCGUGGUGUAGCGGUUAAAUGCAUAGAUAUCACGCAGAAAUCCGAUUGCGAAGGCAGCUUACUAAGCCAUAACUGACACUGAAGCACGAAAGCGUGGGGAUCAAACAGGAUUAGAUACCCUUGUAGUC
rnacentral:rRNA from 1 species